rnacentral:rRNA from 1 species
AUGGCGCAGCAAGCGACGGCAGCAGCAAGCGGCGGCUCCGGCGGCGGCUUCAGCAGCAGCUCCGGCGGCGACUCCAGCGGCGCGGCGGCUUCAACGGCGGCUCCAGCAGAUUUGAAAAAGUAUUUUGAAGUGCUUGGUAGUGGCAGCAGCUCACAAACAAAUCCAAGCACCCGCGAAAGUGUCAAUAUUUCAGCAAAUGUCAAUCAUCAAGAUCAAGUGACUUCCAUGGAAGAAGAGCAUGAAAAUUUGAUGCCAACCGAACAAGUGGAAGAACAAACUACCGAUUCCGUCGAAGCUAUAGUGGAAGAGAAUGUUGAAGUUCACGGGGUUGAAGGUAUAACUAUUUUUAGUGAAGAUUACAUAAAUGGUGAUCCAGGCCUUCGCAUUCCACUUGAUAGUUUUGCCCCCAACAUUAGAGAUGAUGUUAGAUUUACUUAUAUCCGAAUGGGUGCAACUCAACCAACUAGUUGCACUUUCCUCCCAAAUAGAGAUGGAAGAUGCUUCCGGCCACAAUGGUAUAAGGAUUUUGAGUGGUUGGAAUAUAGUGUGGAUAAGCAUAAGGCAUAUUGCUUCUAUUGUUAUCUUUUUAAGCAUGACCGAAUGGAUGAUAAAUUUGGGCAUGAUGUUUUCUCCAAAUUGGGUUUUGACUGUUGGAAAAAUGCGGUUGCAACAUUCCGUAAACAUGUUGGUGGGCCAUGUAGCAUCCACAAUAUUUCAAAAACAGCAUGUGAUGAUUUUAAAAAUCAAAGGGCAAGUGUGAAAAGUAAAGUUACAACUUACAGCAAAGGUUCACUAGUCAAGUAUGAAACUCAUGUGGAUACAUCUUUGGCCAUUGUAAGUUAUCUAGCAUUGCAAGGUGAACCAUUUCGUGGACACGAUGAAUCCACUUCUUCUUUGAACAAGGGGAAUUUUUUGGAGCUACUUGAUUGGGUGAAAGAAAGAAUUCCAGAAGUGAAGGUUGCAUUUGAUGAGCUAUGCCCUAAGAAUGCCCAAAUGACUUCCGGAAAAAUUCAAAAAAUCCUUGUUUCUCAUUGUGCAAAUGCGGUCACCAAAGCAAUCAAAGAAGAGAUGGGUGAUUGUCUUUUCUCCGUUCUUAUUGAUGAGUGCCGUGAUAUAUCGGUGAAAGAACAAAUGGCCGUGGUUAUUAGGUACUUGAGCAAACAAGGAGAGACUAUUGAACGUUUUUUAGGUAUUAAGCAUGUCCCGGACACAACAUCUGCUUCUUUAAAGAAGGCAUUGUUGGAGGUUUUUGCUAAACACGGUCUAGUUGUUGCACGACUACGAGGGCAAGGAGCAGGAGGUUUGGUUCAUCAAAUGGAGACUUUUAGCUUUGUGUUCAUCCUGAAGAUGAUGCUAAAGAUCCUUCGUAUGACAAAUGAUUUGUCUCUUCUAUUGCAAAAGAAGGAUCAAAAUGUUGUUCAGGCAAUGUCAUUGGUUACGGAUGUGAGAACACGUUUAAUCAAUUGGAGAAAUGAUGGUUGGGAGCCACUCUUGGAAGAUGUCAAAGCCUUUUGCACCAAAAACGACAUUCCAAUACCAAAUAUGGAUGACAUGUUUACAAAGUGGGGAAAAUCAAGAAAAGGUGGACGAAACAAUGUCACAGCUGAUCAUUUUUUUCGUGUGGACACCUUCUAUGCUGCCAUAGACUUCAUCACCACAGAGUUUGAUCAUCGUUUCAAUGAGGUAUCUUCAGAGCUGCUCCAGAACUUCUCUUGUCUUGACCCAAGAAACUCCUUUUCUAGGUUCAAUGUGAAUAAGCUUGCUAGACUCACAGAGAUUUAUUGUGAGGAUUUCUCAGAUUAUGAACGUGAACAUAUAGUUGAUAACCUCGAGCUAUUCAUUAUCCAUAUGAGAAGAAUUGAAGAAUUUAGAGCUUGUCAUAAUAUUGCAAGCCUAGCUAGAAAGAUGGUUGAACUUGAAAGGCAUGUCAUGUUUCCUGCUGUUUAUCGCCUCAUUGAGUUGGCAUUGCUACUACCGGUAGCGACGGCAACAGUUGAAAGAGCCUUCUCAUCAAUGAAAAUCAUCAAGACUGAGUUGCGCAGCAAGAUGUCUGAUGGCUGGCUUAAUGACUUGAUGGUGUGUUACAUUGAGCGAGUGAUCUUCAAAAGUAUUGAUCUUGAUAAAAUUAAGGAAGAUUUUCAGAAGGAAGGUAGGGCACUGCCAUUGCCUGGGUCUUCUACACGCCAUUAA